CUCGAUCCCAUAACGCCGGGAUCACGCCCUGAGCCGAAGGCAGGCGCUUAACCGCUGUGCCACCCAGGCGCCCCUAAUAAAUUAAUUUUUAUUCGGAUUCUGUCCAUUUAAUUUUUGUUACAUGCUUCUCAACCAUGCUCGUUCCUCAUUGCUUUUAGGCAUAGAACUUCCUAAAUAAUUAGCCUGAGCAAGAACACGUUGGUAUUAGCAGCUGUAACACAUUGCAUUUCUGGCAGUGGAAUUCUGCAGACAGACUCUGAGUCCUCGCACCGUGUCCCUGAACAAAGAAGCCUUGCUUCUGAGCAUGUGCGUCUCGACAAGGACCUUCAAGUCUUGUUCUUAGUAGACCAGCAUCUUUUCUAUCUCUGUACGUUGGGAAUUAUCAGUCGGGUGUCACCGUACCUCUUUGGCCAUUACUUUGGAAAAGAGGGGUCCCAUGUUUUCCUCAAAGAAUAGUGUAGAAGGGAAGUCUUAAUUGACCUCUACUUAGGUGAGUUUGCGAAUUGAUCAAUAUUCUCUCAACUUUUCCGUGAAGCCCUAAAU
rnacentral:lncRNA from 1 species